UUUAAAUUAAGGUAUGCACUUUGAUUUCUAGACAAUGCUCUGCAUACUUAAUAGACCACAAUAUAGUGUAAACAUAACAUAUAUAUAUAUAUAUGUUAUGUUUACACUAUAUUUUAUAUAUAUACACACACAUAUAUAUACUGGGAAACCAAAAGUUUGUUUGAAUCCCUUUAUUGCUAUGUUUGCUUUAUUGCAGUGGUCUGGAACUGAACCUGCAAUAUAUCUGAGAUAUCCCUGUAUCAGCUCCAGUGUAAAACACUCAUGA
rnacentral:lncRNA from 1 species